rnacentral:rRNA from 2 species
CUGCAGUCGACGAACUCUGGUAUUGAUUGGUGCUUGCAUCAUGAUUUACAUUUGAGUGAGUGGCGAACUGGUGAGUAACACGUGGGAAACCUGCCCAGAAGCGGGGGAUAACACCUGGAAACAGAUGCUAAUACCGCAUAACAACUUGGACCGCAUGGUCCGAGUUUGAAAGAUGGCUUCGGCUAUCACUUUUGGAUGGUCCCGCGGCGUAUUAGCUAGAUGGUGGGGUAACGGCUCACCAUGGCAAUGAUACGUAGCCGACCUGAGAGGGUAAUCGGCCACAUUGGGACUGAGACACGGCCCAAACUCCUACGGGAGGCAGCAGUAGGGAAUCUUCCACAAUGGACGAAAGUCUGAUGGAGCAACGCCGCGUGAGUGAAGAAGGGUUUCGGCUCGUAAAACUCUGUUGUUAAAGAAGAACAUAUCUGAGAGUAACUGUUCAGGUAUUGACGGUAUUUAACCAGAAAGCCACGGCUAACUACGUGCCAGCAGCCGCGGUAAUACGUAGGUGGCAAGCGUUGUCCGGAUUUAUUGGGCGUAAAGCGAGCGCAGGCGGUUUUUUAAGUCUGAUGUGAAAGCCUUCGGCUCAACCGAAGAAGUGCAUCGGAAACUGGGAAACUUGAGUGCAGAAGAGGACAGUGGAACUCCAUGUGUAGCGGUGAAAUGCGUAGAUAUAUGGAAGAACACCAGUGGCGAAGGCGGCUGUCUGGUCUGUAACUGACGCUGAGGCUCGAAAGUAUGGGUAGCAAACAGGAUUAGAUACCCUGGUAGUCCAUACCGUAAACGAUGAAUGCUAAGUGUUGGAGGGUUUCCGCCCUUCAGUGCUGCAGCUAACGCAUUAAGCAUUCCGCCUGGGGAGUACGGCCGCAAGGCUGAAACUCAAAGGAAUUGACGGGGGCCCGCACAAGCGGUGGAGCAUGUGGUUUAAUUCGAAGCUACGCGAAGAACCUUACCAGGUCUUGACAUACUAUGCAAAUCUAAGAGAUUAGACGUUCCCUUCGGGGACAUGGAUACAGGUGGUGCAUGGUUGUCGUCAGCUCGUGUCGUGAGAUGUUGGGUUAAGUCCCGCAACGAGCGCAACCCUUAUUAUCAGUUGCCAGCAUUAAGUUGGGCACUCUGGUGAGACUGCCGGUGACAAACCGGAGGAAGGUGGGGAUGACGUCAAAUCAUCAUGCCCCUUAUGACCUGGGCUACACACGUGCUACAAUGGAUGGUACAACGAGUUGCGAACUCGCGAGAGUAAGCUAAUCUCUUAAAGCCAUUCUCAGUUCGGAUUGUAGGCUGCAACUCGCCUACAUGAAGUCGGAAUCGCUAGUAAUCGCGGAUCAGCAUGCCGCGGUGAAUACGUUCCCGGGCCUUGUACACACCGCCCGUCACACCAUGAGAGUUUGUAACACCCAAAGUCGGUGGGGUAACCUUUUAGGAACCAGCCGCCU